rnacentral:rRNA from 1 species
CCUACGGGCGGCAGCAGUGAGGAAUAUUGGUCAAUGGACGAGAGUCUGAACCAGCCAAGUAGCGUGAAGGAUGACUGCCCUAUGGGUUGUAAACUUCUUUUAUAAAGGAAUAAAACGAGGCACGUGUGCCUUUUUGCAUGUACUUUAUGAAUAAGGAUCGGCUAACUCCGUGCCAGCCGCCGCGGUAAUACGGAGGAUCCGAGCGUUAUCCGGAUUUAUUGGGUUUAAAAGGAGCGUAGAUGGGUUGUUAAGUCAGUUGUGAAAGUUUGCGGCUCAACCGUAAAAUUGCAAUUGAUACUGGCAGUCUUGAGUACAGUUGAGGUAGGCGGAAUUCGUGGUGUAGCGGUGAAAUGCUUAGAUAUCACGAAGAACCCCGAUUGCGAAGGCAGCUUACUAAACUGUGACUGACAUUGAUGCUCGAAAGUGUGGGUAUCAAACAGGAUUAGAUACCCUUGUAGUC